rnacentral:ncRNA from 2 species
GAUUUAUACAGAAGAGGUGAGAGGACAGGCUCGAAGACCCUCUGGCAACCUACAGCUCUGCAAGGUGCCAAUUCCUGCCCAAAAGAAGGGACAUAUAAAUU